ensembl:lncRNA
CAGUAUUUUAGUAACUUCCAUCAUCUCUUCGCUCUUUUUGUGAAGGGCUUGACAUUCCUCCUCAAGUGCCUUCUUAUCCAGGUUCAGAUGAUCGUUGUCUUUCUGGAGGUCUCUAGUUUUGGUUUCCAGAUUUGCUUUUUCUCUGAGAAGGUCUUUGUUUUCGGCCUCCAGGUGUUCAUUUUUGAUCUCGAGGUCUCUAGUUUUGGUUUCCAGAUUUGCUUUUUCUCUGAGAAGGUCUUUGUUUUCGGCCUCCAGGUGCUGUUUUUCGUUCUGGAGGUCCUGUGUUUUGGUUUCCAGAUUUAUUUUUUCCAGGUGAAGGUCUUUGUUUUCAGCCUCCAGGUGUUCAUUUUUGAUCUCGAGGUCUCUAGUUUUGGUUUCCAGAUUUGCUUUUUCUCUGAGAAGGUCUUUGUUUUCGGCCUCCAGGUGCUGUUUUUCGUUCUGGAGGUUUUGUAUUUUGGCCUCCAGAUCUUCUGGCUUCGUGGUUUUGUUCUGCAGAUCCUUCUUCUCCAUCUGUUCUUUACGUUUGGCCUUCAGAUGUUCGGUUUGCUUCAGGAGAUCUGCAUUUUUUGCCUCCAGCUCAAGCUUCUCCAGUCGAAGCUUGUGACUCUCUUCCUGGAAAGCCUUUUUGUCAUCCUUCAGUUUUUGCUUGAGCUUCAGAAAGGCCUCUUUCACCUUUGUAUCUACAAGCUCUUGCUUUUUGUCGUUGAAGACGAUCAUCAGCCUCUCAUUCUCAUCCCCCAGUUCUUUGGCCUGCUUUUGCAGAGCUUUUGUACUGGAUUUGAGUUUUUGAUUCUCAGAAAUCAGAGACAUCAUUUCCUCUUCGAUUUGUUUUUUUUUCAGCCAAAAUACUUUCUUUGUUCUCAAGCUUCCUCUUC